GAUGAACGCUGGCGGCGUGCCUAAUACAUGCAAGUCGAGCGAACGGGCGCGAAGCUUGCUUCUCUGAUGUUAGCGGCGGACGGGUGAGUAACACGUGGAUAACCUACCUAUAAGACUGGGAUAACUUCGGGAAACCGGAGCUAAUACCGGAUGAUAUUUUGAACCGCAUGGUUCAAAAGUGAAAGACGGUCUUGCUGUCACUUAUAGAUGCAUCCGCGCUGCAUUAGCUAGUUGGUAAGGUAACGGCUUACCAAGGCAACGAUGCAUAGCCGACCUGAGAGGGGGAUAGGCCACCCUGGAACGGAGACACGGUCCAGACUCCUAAGGGAGGCAGCAGUAGGGAAUCUGCCGCAAUGGGCGAAAGCAUGACGGAGCAAGGCCGCGUGAGUGAUGAAGGCCUUCGGAUCGGAAAAAUCUGCUAUUAGGGAAGAACAUAUGUGUAAGUAACUGUGGAGAGCUUGACGGUACCUAAUCAGAAAGCCACGGCUAACUACGUG
rnacentral:rRNA from 1 species